rnacentral:rRNA from 1 species
GAGUCUUAUGAUAAAUCAAUCAAAACUUUUAACAACGGAUCUCUUGGUUCUGGCAUCGAUGAAGAACGCAGCGAAAUGCGAUAAGUAAUGUGAAUUGCAGAAUUCAGUGAAUCAUCGAAUCUUUGAACGCACAUUGCGCCCUUUGGUAUUCCGAGGGGCAUGCCUGUUCGAGCGUCAUCAAACAAACUCAAGUCAAUUAUUGCUUGGUCUUGGGCGUCGGGGAUUCCCCGCGUCUUAAUGUCGCCGGCUGGACGAUCUGGAUCUCAGCGUUGUGGCAACAAAUUCGCUGGCGAGAAGGAGCGUCUGUGCCGUUAAACCUCCCAUCAAAGGUUGACCUCGGAUCAGGUAGGGAUACCCGCUGAACUUAAGCAUAUCAAUAAGCGGAGGAAAAGAAACCAACAGGGAUUGCCCCAGUAACG